rnacentral:lncRNA from 1 species
GUAAGUCUUAAGGCUUUUUAAUCUUCUCCUGAUUGUCCUGAACAUAAUGUUUUGGGAAACAGCUGUCAUCACCAUCUUGCUGAUGAGGACAAAUGGUGGAAAUGACAGAAAUGUCAUUCUGUUUGCAAACAAGAUAAAAGCAAACCUGAAACUCAAAUGCACUUUCAACCAUCAAGUGGAGAAAACUGUCAUCAGAUCAAGACUCAAUGGUAAAAGAAUCCUCUCCUGUUCUUAUUUUGUAUGCAGGCAGAGAAAUGAAAUGAUGAGAACUAGAAAAAGCAAGUUUCAGGAUCCAACACCCAUAAUCCCUACGGGGUUGAUAGGCUUUUUAAUAUAUUUUUCCUUCUUUAUCACAAGACCAUCCAGGAUAUGUGAAUGAUCAUACUCUCUUCCACUCCCAAGUGGCUUCAAAUCUGUUGUUCAGCUCAUGAUCACAGACUCCAUAUGAAACAUAGCGCCUCUAAAUGUGUCAGCUCUAGGGGACAAGCCUGAGCUGAUGAGACAAAGUUUUUUCGGCUACGUGUCUUGUAAAAACUUUGUUUUUAAUGUAAAUAUGAUUUUCUUCAGAAAUGCUUGCAGAGAGCUACGUUUUUCUUGCAUUGUUUUCCAC